ACCACCUAAGUGGAAUGUAAACCUGGAAUCAUAAUGAACACUAGGCAAAAACGGUAAUGAUAGGGUAAUAGAAAUAAAACAGCCACUUGACAAACUAUCUUGUCUGAUGUAAAGACAUCGUUCAUCUACUCAAAAAUAUAACAGAGUUAGCCACUAUCUGGAAAUUAAACCAUUCAACUGGGAAGUCUUAACUAUUUCUUACACCUGUUUUUCCAGGCUUGCCUUCUACUUUCAUCAUACUCUAGCUAAUAAAGACUACGGAUUAUUUCAUACCCCAUUAUCUUUGCCCACAAUGUGCUUUUUUCUGAUACUGACGUAGCUUACUCUCUACUGCACUCACGUCUUUGCUCAAAUGUGUCACCCUACUGGAGUCCUCCCUGACCUCCCUGUGUCACCUCUCCACACUUCUUCACUCGGCUUUUUCCUUCAUGGUACUUAAAACUGGUAUUAGACGGUCAUUACUUGUCUGUAAGUUCCUGUAGUAUCUUCACCUACGUUCAUCAUUGCAUCCCCGAAUUGUGCUUGACUCCGGGAGGAGGGGAAGUCAUCUAAGUAUUUACUAAGGAUGAGAUGUAUCUCAUACUCUCCACCGUCUUGCUUUUACUCAGGCUGUUACUUCGCUUCUUGAGGCCUGUCUACACCUCUUCGCCCUACUCCAAGGCCGAAUAGGAACUAGCCUUUAUUUCUAAGGAUCACCUAAGGUCCUCCUCCCCAUAGCCCCCGCGUCCCGCCUCCCGCCAGGAUGUCUAGCCGGGCUCAACCGGCCGUGCUCACGCACACGCCUCACCGCUGCCUCAGGCCAGGGCUUGACGCACCCCAAAAGCUCCUCCGGGUCACAAAGGCGGGGAGCAGGCCAACUCUCUAGCCGCGGCUGCUACGAAGAGAACUUCACCAUAGCGGAUACAACACCUGCCGCACCGCUCUCACCCGCGCCGGAACUAUUUAUUCCUUUGAAUUUCGGCGCGAGCAAAGGACCCCACCUCCAUUGCUUAUUUCCUGUGCUGGUGCCUAGGAGCUGCCUGUCUUUAGGAUUCCAUUUUUCCCCUACACGCGAAGGAUUAACGCUUCAGGGCAAUAGGACGCAGAGUCUCGAUAAUGGCAGCUCCGGGGACUCCCAGGCGCGGGCCUGGGCACUACAAGAGCAGCCUUUUGGACAAGUAUGUCUAUGCAUGGAAAAAAUAUGAAUAGUAGACUCACCUCAAAUGAAUUCCCAGGGAUGCUUCAAAUCUCCAUGAGAGAAUAGAAAUAAUGAUGUAGAAGAAUAUAGAACAAAGUCAUAUGGCUGUUCUAGAGAGAGAAGAGUUACUUUGAAGUGACUAAGAAAGCUAUCAUAAAGAAGAUGCCCUUUGGAUUGGCCCCUGAAUGACUGGAGAAGGAGAUUUGCAGUUGAAAAACGAGCUUAGGUGCAGAAGGAAGAAG
rnacentral:lncRNA from 1 species